AUGCACUGCCGCUCAUCCUCUCUUUGGUCUUGGUUCCUCUCCACCGGUGAGCCGUAUCACGGCGGCGCUGCGAAGAUGGCCGACGGCGCUGUUCAGUGUUUCGUGGAAAAGAAAUAUCAAACGGAAUCCAAACGGAAUAAAACCUUCGCGAGGAUCACUUUUGGAAUAAACGCAAUCCAGGAGACUUGGAGUGGAUGUCAAGAAAGCAGCGAGGAAGUCAUGAGGCAGGAGGGCGCGCCCCAAGGGAUUGGGCGCGAGCCCCACCCUCGUGGGCCCCUCGCAGCUCCACCAACCUACUUCUUUCUCCUAUAUAUACUCUUAUACCCUGAAACCAAUGGGGAGAGCCAAGAAACACCUUUUCCACCGCCACAACCUUCUGUACCCAUGAGAUCCCAUCUUGGGGCGUUUUUCGGCGCUCCGCCGGAGGUGGAUUCGAUCACGGAGGGCUUCUACAUCAACACCAUAGCCUCUCCGAUGAUGUGUGAGUAG
rnacentral:rRNA from 1 species